rnacentral:rRNA from 1 species
UACGGAGGGGGCUAGCGUUGUUCGGAAUUACUGGGCGUAAAGCGCACGUAGGCGGCUUUGUAAGUUAGAGGUGAAAGCCCGGAGCUUAACUCCGGAGCUGCCUUUAAGACUGCAUCGCUCGAAUCAUGGAGAGGUCAGUGGAAUUCCGAGUGUAGAGGUGAAAUUCGUAGAUAUUCGGAAGAACACCAGUGGCGAAGGCGACUGACUGGACAUGUAUUGACGCUGAGGUGCGAAAGCGUGGGGAGCAAACAGG